UACGUAGGCAGCGAGCGUUGUUCGGAAUUACUGGGCGUAAAGAGUGUGUAGGCGGUGUUCCAAGUUCGGUGUGAAAUCUCCCGGCUUAACUGGGAGGGUGCGCCGAAAACUGGAAUGCUCGAGCGUGGGAGAGGAAAGCGGAAUUCCUGGUGUAGCGGUGAAAUGCGUAGAUAUCAGGAGGAACACCAGCGGUGUAGACGGCUUUCUGGACCAUUGCUGACGCUGAGACACGAAAGCGUGGGGAGCGAACAGG
rnacentral:rRNA from 1 species